AUGGCCACGGCGAAUUACAGAUCAAACGGGGGCCAUCGGCGGCGUCCCUCACGCCGCCGCCGCCGCUCUCGGCUAACGGCGGUCGUCAUGGUGCAGCGACCACCUGACCUGGACACGGCGUGCGCGCUCGCGCAACUACAGGAGGAGGUGGCGGAUGGAGCGCGGGGACACCCACCACGACCACCAUAUGCGUCUCCAAGGGCAGCAGUGCCAUUGCCACUGCCCCCACCUCCGGUGCGCCAUCCGACCCCUACGAUCGCCACCGAUCGGCGUGGAACUGACGCCGCGCGCGCGGACUCGUCCAAGAUCAAAGCGCUGCGGGACUAUCGAGGCGCCCGCGGCCUCUGCUUCAAGUGCGGUGAGAGGUGGGGGCAUAAUCACGUGUGCCCCACCUCAGUCCAACUGCAUGUCGUCGAGGAGCUCCUCGACAUGAUCGGCCUCGACAACUUCAUCGACACCAAGAUCCCACAAGACGAAGGCCCGAAUGACACGGUCAUGGCAAUCUCUUUAUCUGCCGUGACUGGGGGCGUCUCGGCCAAGGCGUUUCAGUUGCGUGCCUGGAUACAAGGGCGCGAGGUACUCCUCCUCAUCGACUCAGGCAGCUCCAACUCUUUCAUCGACGAGCAACUGGCCACAACUCUCGUCGGGGUCCAAGCAAUGGCCAAACCAGGCCGUGUUCGUGUCGCGGAUGGUGGCGAAAUGGUCUGCUCAACCUACAUUCCACACUGUGCGUGGUACGCUCAAGGGCAUGAGUUUUUCACGGAUCUGAAGGUGCUUCCUCUCGGUACCUACGAUGCCAUCCUAGGGAUGGACUGGCUGGAGGAACACAGUCCCAUGACCGUUGAUUGGCGCGCCCGUUUCAUCGAGACAAUCACCCUAGCAGGACCGAUCCGGCUGAAUGGACAUGAUGCAGCUUCGGUUGUCUGUGAAACCAUCAACAGCAUCCAAUUACAGAGCCUCUGCAGCAACGGGGCUGUCUCGCAUAUCAUACACCUAUGUAUGAUUGCACCAGACCAGGAGUCAACUGCACCUGUUCCGGACUGCAUUCAGAAAGUGGUCGAUGAUUUUGCGGAUGUUUUCUCUGAACCAAAAGGCCUUCCCCCGCGGCGUGCUUGUGAUCACAAAAUACCGCUCACCCCUAGAGCACAACUAGUCAACAUUAGACCUUACAGACACAAGCCAGAGCACAAGACAGAGAUAGAGAAACAAGUCGAAGAGCUGCUGCGAUCAGGUGUGAUACAGAGAAGCACGAGCCCAUUCUCCUCACCAGUCAUUUUAGUCAAGAAGAAAGACGGAACAUGGCGACUAUGUAUCGACUACCGUCAGCUCAACGCUCUCACAGUGAUCGCCAAGUUUCCGGUACCUGUCAUUGAGGAACUCCUGGAUGAACUUCACGGUGCAGCUUGGUUCUCCAAACUUGACCUUCGCGCAGGCUAUCGUCAAAUUCGCUUGGCUCCCGGAGAGGAAUACAAGACAGCCUUCCAGACGCACCAGGGCCAUUUUGAAUUCAGAGUGGUCUCGUUUGGCCUCGCAGGUGCGCCGACCACUUUUAUUGGAGCAGUCACCACCACUCUCAAGCCUGUCAACCGUGUCUGUGUUCUGUUGUUCUUCGAUGAUAUUCUCGUCUUCAGCGCAACACUCCAAGAGCACGUCGGUCGAUCAUCUGAGGCAGGUGCUUACUCUCCUCCGCAGACUGUUGGAAGGCUAAGCUCAGCAAGUGUGCCUUCGGUCAGCAGCAGAUUUCCUACCUGGGGCAUGUCAUCAACUCAGAAGGCGUCGCUACCGACCCCUCCAAAAUUGCAGCAGUCAACAACUGGACAGCUCCGACAAACGUCAAAGAGGUUCGCAGCUUCCUGGGGCUUGCAGGCUACUAUCGAAGGUUCGUCAGAAACUUUGGUGUGA
rnacentral:rRNA from 1 species